rnacentral:rRNA from 1 species
AGUGGCGGACGGGUGAGUAACGCGUGAGAAUCUGCCUUGGGGUCGGGGACAACCACUGGAAACGGUGGCUAAUACCGGAUAAGCCGAUUGGUGAAAGAUUUAUUGCCCGAAGAGGAGCUCGCGUCUGAUUAGCUAGUUGGUGAGGUAAGAGCUCACCAAGGCAGCGAUCAGUAGCUGGUCUGAGAGGACGAUCAGCCGCACUGGGACUGAGACACGGCCCAGACUCCUACGGGAGGCAGCAGUGGGGAAUUUUCCGCAAUGGGCGAAAGCCUGACGGAGCAAGACCGCGUGAGGGAGGAAGGCUCUUGGGUUGUAAACCUCUUUUCUCAGGGAAGAAUCUCUGACGGUACCUGAGGAAUCAGCCUCGGCUAACUCCGUGCCAGCAGCCGCGGUAAUACGGAGGAGGCAAGCGUUAUCCGGAAUUAUUGGGCGUAAAGCGUCCGCAGGUGGCGAUUCAAGUCUGCUGUCAAAGCACGGGGCUUAACUCCGUAAAGGCAGUGGAAACUGAAUAGCUAGAGUGCCGUAGGGGUAGAGGGAAUUCCCGGUGUAGCGGUGAAAUGCGUAGAGAUCGGGAAGAACAUCGGUGGCGAAAGCGCUCUACUGGACGGCAACUGACACUCAGGGACGAAAGCUAGGGGAGCGAAUGGGAUUAGAUACCCC